rnacentral:rRNA from 1 species
UACGUAGGGGGCGAGCGUUGUCCGGAUUUAUUGGGCGUAAAGAGCUCGUAGGCGGUUCGAUAAGUCGGACGUGAAAUCUCCACGCUCAACGUGGAGGGGCCGUUCGAUACUGUCGUGACUCGAGUCCGGUAGGGGAGUGUGGAAUUCCCGGUGUAGCGGUGAAAUGCGCAGAUAUCAGGAGGAACACCGACGGCGAAGGCAGCACUCUGGGCCGGUACUGACGCUGAGGAGCGAAAGCAUGGGGAGCGAACAGG